rnacentral:rRNA from 1 species
AUUGAGCGCUGGCGGCAUGCUUUACACAUGCAAGUCGAACGGUAACAGGUUAAGCUGACGAGUGGCGAACGGGUGAGUAAUGCAUCGGAACGUGCCCAAACGUGGGGGAUAACGUAGCGAAAGCUACGCUAAUACCGCAUACGAUCUGAGGAUGAAAGCGGGGGACCGUAAGGCCUCGCGCGAUCGGAGCCGCCGAUGUCAGAUUAGGUAGUUGGUGGGGUAAAGGCCCACCAAGCCGACGAUCUGUAGCUGGUCUGAGAGGACGACCAGCCACACUGGGACUGAGACACGGCCCAGACUCCUACGGGAGGCAGCAGUGGGGAAUUUUGGACAAUGGGCGCAAGCCUGAUCCAGCAAUGCCGCGUGCAGGAAUAAGGCCUUCGGGUUGUAAACUGCUUUUGUACGGAGCGAAAAGGCUCUCUCUAAUACAGGGGGCUCAUGACGGUACCGUAAGAAUAAGCACCGGCUAACUACGUGCCAGCCGCCGCAGUAAGAC